UACGUAGGGUCCGAGCGUUGUCCGGAAUUAUUGGGCGUAAAGAGCUCGUAGGCGGUGUGUCGCGUCGGAUGUGAAAGCCCGGGGCUUAACUUCGGGUCUGCAUUCGGUACGGGCAUGCUGGAGUUCGGUAGGGGAGACUGGAAUUCCUGGUGUAGCGGUGAAAUGCGCAGAUAUCAGGAGGAACACCCGUAGCGAAGGCGGCACUCUGGGCCGAUUCUGACACUGAGGAGCGAAAGCGUGGGGAGCGAACAGG
rnacentral:rRNA from 1 species